GGGGACAAACCUUCCCUUCGUACGCUUGUAUAGCCCAGAGGCUCUGUAUUAAGUCACGGUUGUGCUCUGCUGUCGUCGUGAUGGAUUUCAUUUGGAAAAAAACAAAAAACAAACAACCACAUGCGGAAAAAUACCCUUCAUGCUACACUGGAAAAGAAUAAAUAUAUAAUACCGUUUCUCCAAAGACAUUUGUAUCCCUAUUUAGAAACUUCUUAACCAAAUGAGAGUUUGCAGUUAGGCAGCACAUCUGAAAAUCUCCAGGUGCCAUCAACGAAUCGCCUGUGACAAUGGACCUCAUCUUUAACAGAGAGGACCUGGUGGAGAGGAUGUGUUGGGCUUGUUUCUUCAGUCUUCUCUUCGCUCUGCGGAGUUUCUGAGGCUGAACAGCAAGUUGACAAAAAAAAUGUAUGUUGGAAGUUAUGAUACUUCAAAGGACAUAUAAUCUGCUGUGCUUUUCAAAACCCCAAAAUAGUUAUCAGUAUUGUUGUCUGUCUUGGAACUGCAGAUUUUCCACAAAAGAAAAUUCG